GCCCUGAUGGUCUAGCGGUAUGAUUCUCCCUUAGGGUUGUCGAUUCGACGAUUCAGUCUGGGAGAGGUCCCAGGUUCGAUCCCUGGUUAGGGCC